rnacentral:rRNA from 1 species
GACGAACGCUGGCGGCGUGCUUAACACAUGCAAGUCGAACGAAGUGGCGAACGGGUGAGUAACGCGUAAUCCCCCUGCCCUUCAGAGGGGGACAACUGUUAGAAACGACUGCUUAUACCGCAUACUGAAGGUGGGGAUUGCGUGUGAUUAGCUAGUUGGAGGGGUAACGGCCCACCAAGGCGAUGAUCAGUAGCCGGUCUGAGAGGAUGAACGGCCAAAUUGGGACUGAGACACGGCCCAGACUCAUACGGGAGGCAGCAGUGGGGAAUCUUCCGCAAUGGACGAAAGUCUGACGGAGCAACGCCGCGGGAGUGAUGACGGCGUUCGGGUUGUAAAGCUCUGUUAAUCGGGACGCGGUACCGGAAUAGAAAGCCACGGCUAACUACGUGCCAGCAGCCGCGGUAAUUC